AUGUGCAAAAGCCAUCUGCAUUUCCUUUUUGGUAGACUGUAUUGUCACAUACGUUGCCUGCUUCUUUUGCGGGGUGGGGUGUGAGUAUGGGGCGUGUUGGCCUUUUCAGCCCUCUGAGUUGAAUCAGAGACGAAGACGUGAAAAGCCCAAAGACCUUCAAUAGCUCACCCGAGGCCACGGGCAGGUGGAUGGCAGGCCCAGGACUGAAGCCGUCCUUGAUUUUCAACUUCAUCUGUUACAGUCUUACCACGUGGCAGCUAGGUGUAGCUGCUUCUCUGUCGAGCCACACAUUAGGGAUAAUGAGAAAACCGCUAAUACUGAUUGGGCUGUGCUUUUGCCAUUUUGUCCAGGAGCUUUUGUUUUCGCUUGUUUCCUUUUUACCCUCCUAGGUAUUACUAUCCCAUUUCACACACAGGGAAACCGAGGCUCAGAGAGACUUCGGAGCCUGGCUGCAGGCAUAUGACUGAUGAGUGCAAACCCAAGGCGGAAAGACAAUUCCUUCCCUCUGGCUUCCACUUCAGCCCUUUCCCUGCUAUUCUCCACUAUGAUUCCAGCGGCCCGUGUGAUCUCCCCAACCAGAGGAAAUUCCCUCGCCCUACCCAGCGUCUGCGGACUGUCAGGAGGAUGCUGUACAACCGGGACACAGCCGGUUCGGUUUGAAACUUGGAGAGUUAAAGACUUGUGUCCAUACAAAAGCCUGCUCGUGGAUGUUUAUAGCAGCCUUAUUCAUAAUUGUCAAAGCUUGGAAGCAACCAGGAUGCCCUUGUGUAGGGGAGUGGGUAAAUAAGCCAUGGUGUGGUCCAUCCACACAAUGGAAUAGUAUUCAGCGCUAAAAGGAAAUGAGCUAUCAAGCCACAAAAGACAUGGAAAAGGUUGAAAUGCAUAUUAUUAAGUGAAAGAGGCCAAUCUGGAAAGACUGCGUGCUGUAGGAUUCCAACUAUAGGACAUUCUGGAAAAAGCAAAACUAUGCAGACAGUAAAAAACAGAUCAGCAGUGGCCAGGGGUUGGGUCGUGGGGAGGGAUGAACAGGCAGAGCAUAGAGGACUCUCAGGGCAGUGAAACUAUUCCAUAUGAUACCAUCAUGAUGGCGUCGUUAUGCAUUUGCCCAAACCCUUGGAAUGUGCACCAACCACCAAGAAUGAGCCCGAAUGUUAACAACGGGCUUUGGGUGAUAAUGAUGUGUCAGUGUGGGUUCAUCGAUUGUAACAAAGGUGCCAUCUGGUGAGGGAUGUUGAUAGUGGGAGAGGCUCUGUGUGUAGGAGAGAAGAGGGUCUUACAUGGCAAAUCUCCAUACCUUCUGCUCAGUAUUGCUGUGACUCUGAAUCUGCUCUAAAAGCUAAAGUCCAUUAAAAACAAAACAAAAACUUGGAGGAUGGGCUCCUGAAGAUGCCCAUCAGGGAAACUGAGGCCAGACUUGGACGGGCAGCUGGGAUCUGACCCCUGGUCUCCUGACCGUGGAGUCAUUGUUCUUUCCACUGUGCCUUCCUGCCAAGGAAAAUGUCAGUAUCAAUCCAUCGCUGACCUCCUGGUCACUCCCACCCAGAAUGGAAGCCAGCCAACUCUGACAUCCAUGGCCCUUACGAGCCACUGUCCCCGGGAACUCCUCCUUAAGCACUCUUACUGUUAAAGCAUGUUGGGGACCAUCAUCUCUUCAUUGCAGUAGUGUCCAUAGGCUUGAAUAAUGGCUGGAAUCUUGUGGGUUCAUUGGCUGGACAUUACGGGACGCCUGUGUUGUGCCGUGAGCAAAAGAAGGCUUUAUUCACACCGGCAUCUGGGCCAGAGGGGUCUGAAAAGCUCAAUUAUUCAGCAGAGCGUGAUGGAAAAAUAAAACCCUGAGUAGAUGUGUUUAAGGUCAUCCUUUGUCUUCUUGGAAGGUGGGGAGCCAGGAGUCCCGACUCUCUCCUUGGCCUUAACUGUUGCUCGAGGCUCUCCAAUCUUAACGUUACCCCCAAUAAAACAAAUGUACAUAUAACUUUAUUUUCAUUAAAAGCUUCAUACCAAGAAGACAGCAUGACUCAUAUCUUUGAAUCGAUGUAAUUUUGGUUCAUAAAGUGGGAUUAAAAUGGAGGAGCCAA